rnacentral:rRNA from 1 species
GACGUAGGAGGCAAGCGUUAUCCGGAUUUAUUGGGCGUAAAGGGCAAGUAGGCGGUUCUCAAAGUUGGGCGUGACAUCUCCCGGCUCAACCGGGAGGGUGCGUUCAAAACUAGAGGACUAGAGGGCAGGAGAGGGAAGUGGAAUUCCCAGUGUAGCGGUGGAAUGCUCAGAGAUCAGGAGGAACACCGAUGGCGAAGGCAGGUCUCUGGGCCACUACUGACGCUGAGAAGCGAAAGCAUGGGGAGCGAACAGGAUUAGAUACCCGCGUAGU